GUAGAUGGUAGACUGGUGUAGAUUUACUUUCCCAGUAUCUCCUGAAGUUAAUUUAUUGAAAGCUGUGGGACGGUCCUUCUCUACAAUUGUUUCUAUUCUUUCGUUUUGCAGUGUUAGAUUUAAUCAUUAAAAUGGACCCCAUCGAGGAAAUGAUUGCUGAAAUUGAAAACGAAGAACUAGGAAUGGACCCGGAGGAGCGGAAAGCCCGGUUACGUGUCAUGUAGAUGGUAGACUGGUGUGGAUUUACAUUCACAGCACUGUCCGAUCUCAAUCAACGUUUACUUUUUACCGCACGGCGCAGCGUCCCACGAAGUUGUCUCAAAUACCCGCGAAACUUCACGGCGGAACUCUUUCAGGGUUUAUUUUUCCAUUAACAUGCCACGCUCAGACGCGAGUUUAAAUUUUUGCCCUCGCAGUUAGAUUACUUGCGCGGGGCCCCUCCGCUCGAGACAUAAAUAUACGUAUUCAGAUUCAAAGGCACCAUCUCGAUUGUGAUCCUGACCCCGCGGCGCAUAAAGACACAUACAAAAAAGGGCUCAUAUUACGAUGUAGAUAGGUGCUUUUGAUUUAAAUACUACCUAAAUAUACGAUUUCUGCGUCGAGCACUCAAAACUGCGAUUGCAUUACAACGGGUAAGAUCCGGUGGGAGAGAACUUUUUCCGCGACGCGCAUUGUUCGUCGACGGGGAAAUUCGCCUUUGCGAGGGCUCGCGACGGUGGAAUUGGAUUAUUCUCCACUUCGGGCAGGUAUUUUCACGUCAAAAUAUCAUUGAUGGAGUGGAAAUUUUGUAUCCUCCAUGUCAAUGGUCUGAAUUUGGGCAUUGUGAUGUUGCGCGUUUCAUCGUGUGCACUUUGCGUGGAAUCUAUUUCAUGCGAGGCAAAAGAUGUUGACCGUCAAAAAAUGCGCAACUUCAUUUCAUGAUUUAAAACCUCCGCUUGCAGAGAUAAAAAUUUUGGUGUUUAGUGUUAAGGUUUUCAUGUUAUAUUUUCUCUCAAAAAUCAGGCGAAAUUUUCGAGCAGUAGAAUUUUUGUUGCAGAUUGCCAGUGCACUAAUUUCUAGAGACCAGUGCUUAGAAAGUUGAAAAAUUAGUCACAAACGCUCAAAGUGAUCAUACGAGGUCUUUCAAAUAAGAAACGGGAUUUUGGUUAUAACUAGUGCAAUGUCCAUUCGAAGUAGGUUUCCUUGGACUUUCCUGAUAGCUGAUAACAUACUAAAGAACGCAAGAUUCACAGAUUUAGUUUAUUUUCAUCCGUGUUCAUUAUGUGUCACUUUAAAUACGAGUAAGUCAGGUGCAUUCUGCGAUUCUCAUCACGCAGUCAUUGAUAGACUAAAGAUUUAUCAUUAAAUUUUGUUUUGAACUCGGUAUACCUUGUAACAAAACUUUUGGUAUGCUAAGUAAAGUUUACCUAGAUCAUUGUAUGAGUUGUUCUCCGGUUCAAAAUUGCUAGGAGUCCGUCGAGGAUGAGGAGCGCAGGAAUCGACCAUCAACGGCACCUGACAUUUGCCACAUGGCGCUCGAAAAUGGUCGUUUUGAGCUUGCUGAGCAGUGUGAUAUUUCUGAAGGCUCUGUACAUACAGUUUUGUUAGAAUGUUUACACAUGCAUCGAGUUUCAGCUAAACUUGUCCGGAGACUGUUGUCCGUUGAACAAAAAUCCAACCGAUUGUAAAUUUUCGUUGAGCUUUUUUGAACGUUCCAACAAUGAUCCUACAUUUUCGGAUAUGGUAAUUUCCGGUGUCAAAACUUGGGUAUACGGCUACAUUAUGGAGACAAAACUUCAACCAUCCGUGUGGGUUGAAAAAGGAAGUGUAAGACCGAAAAAAGCGAAAAGUUUGGUCAAAACUGUAGAGCACCCAGGGGGUUGCCUUACUUCAAAUCACGCACCAAGAAAGCUAAUUAAGAUUUUUUUGAAUUGUGAAUGUAGUAGUAUGAUUAAAGUAUAUUUUAAGUAUAUUUUCAGCUAUCAAGAAAGUCCAAGGAAACUUAAUUUGGACGCAUGAUGGGCUAGUUAUCACCAAAAUCCGGUUUCUUUUCUAAUAGACCUCGUACUUACAACUUAAAAUAAAAAAAAAUUAAAACAAAUUGAGUCCUAGAUAUUUUUUGUUUUUCUCAUGAGGGCGAUAAAUCUCUGACAUUAUGUUGCAUUAUUUGGAAAGGACCCCAUUGCAUUUAAUGUAUGUUUUACUUUCAGAUGCUAAUCUUGCAAAGCCUCAAUCGCAUCAACAAGCGAAACUAACAGCUAAUCAUGCUAAAAGCCUCAAUCGCGUCAACAAGCAGAACUGACAGCUAAUUUUGCAAAGCCUCAAUCACGUCAACAAGUAGAACUGACAACAACAGAAGGAGGAGAUGUUGAAUAUAACCUCUUCAUGUCAGAGACGAUCUGGAUUUCUAGAGGGUAGUUAUGUUGAAAUUAAAACUGAGAUGAAGAACUGGUCUCAACUUUUGGCUGCCUCCGCCAAAGCUUCCCAAAGACAAUUGGGCGAUUGACUUCUUGAAAAAGUGCAACAAAGAUUUGUACCCAAAUGUGUACGUAUAAGAAUAUUUUUUUGUUAUAUCCCUGUAUCUGGAACUACUUGUGAACGAUGUUUCAGCAAUUUAAAAAUCUUGAAAACUUAUUAGCGAAACACAAUUGGGUAACUGCGACUCGACGGGUUAGCCCACUUAUACAUUUCCAAACAUAUCCAUUUGACUGCUGAUUAAAUCUUGGUGAAAUUCACGAGGCAAAGGCAAAGAAGACUUGAUUUGGGUGUUGAGGGAUGAUUAACGACACGGUUUUCUUCUCUAAUCUCCUGGCUUAAUUUUUAUUUUUGAUAAUGGAAAUAAAUUUAAUUUACAUGUUAAACUUCA